rnacentral:rRNA from 1 species
GUAAGGAAUAUUGGGCAAUGGAGGCAACUCUGACCCAGCCAUCCCGCGUGAAGGAUUAAGGCCCUAUGGGUUGUAAACUUCUUUUGUUUGGGAAGAAAUCUGGACAUUUAUGUGCAGUUGACGGUACCUUACGAAUAAGCACCGGCUAACUCCGUGCCAGCAGCCGCGGUAAUACGGAGGGUGCAAGCGUUAUCCGGAAUCACUGGGUUUAAAGGGUGCGUAGGCGGUUUGAUAAGUCAGAGGUGAAAGCUAGCAGCUUAACUGUUAAAUUGCCUUUGAUACUGUCAGACUUGAAUCAAGUUGAGGUAGGCGGAAUGUGACAUGUAGCGGUGAAAUGCAUAGAUAUGUCAUAGAACACCAAUUGCGUAGGCAGCUUGCUGGGCUUGAAUUGACGCUGAGGCACGAAAGCGUGGGGAUCAAACAGG